rnacentral:lncRNA from 1 species
GCAUCUGUUCAGAGGAACAGCGAGUCUCUUCUACAUUAGCAUCAGUCUCUGUUCGCUUCUACCCACACUGAGGGAGAUCCAGUGAGGCCCUCGCUCUGGUAUUCUGGACAGCCUGAACCCUGAGGUUGCUCCUCCUGCCUCCAAAGUGCAUCACACAGGUCUCCGGGAGCACCGAAGCAGUGGAAGCAGCCAGGAGAAGAAUCAAGAGAAUACCUGAAAUUCUCAGUAUUCAAAAACACCUGUGGUGCUGGUUGAGGUACUGAACACUGAGCUCACUGGAAAGCUUUGUAUUAAUAAUUGCUUCACUGAGUUAUCCUGUCUUCUGGCCCAGCCAAGGAGGGAUCAGCACGUAUCCGGGUCAUGGAGGGAAAGUACAGGCGAGCCCCAAAGGCCAUUUUACUUGGCUCUGACUCACCCUGACUCUCCAGUGAAGCAGAAAGGAGGAAACAUCACACCUCCCAGGUGUGGCCAGCCUUUGACCACUAUUGCAAAUCCCUGAGAGUCACCCAGUCCCUUCCCAAGUACACUUUUAGCUUUAGAGACUUCUGGCUCAAGGAAAGCU